rnacentral:misc_RNA from 1 species
UUUGUUUGUUAUGAUUUGAUUCGGCCAGAUGUUGCCCUUGAGCUUGCCUGGAUGAAUAAUAUGAUUGACUUUGCAUUCCCUUACCUGUUACAGUUUAUCCGUGAAUACACUGGCAAGGUAGAUGAGCUGAUAAAAGAUAAGAUUGAGGCUCAAAAAGAAGCAAAAGCCAAAGAGAAUGAAGAGAAGGAUGUUAUGAAGCAGCAGAAUAUGUAUGCUCAGCUGCUUCCUCUGGCUUUGCCUGCUCCGCCAAUGCCAGGUAUGGGAGGUGCUGGUAUGGGUGGAGGUUUUGCUCCGCCACCACCUCAAAUGGGUGGAAUGGGAAUGCCUCCGAUGCCUCCAUUUGGCAUGCCACCAAUGGGUUCCUACUAAUCUGACGGUGUUAUCCUCUGGUGUAAAACAAAGCAUUAUGAAGAAAGGACACAAUCGGGCUUUUUUAAAUUUUAUUUUAUUUAGUCUCCCCCUCUGAGGUUUCUUUUCAAGUACCUUGCAGUUAGUUUCUGAAGAGGAGGGCACAAGUGGAGACUACGAGAAAUAAUUGUUUCUGUUGUGUGUCAUAGUGUGUUGAUAUCUCUCCUUGUAAUAUUCUUUUAGAAAAAGGCAUUUUUUGCAGUUAGGCAGCAAGUUGAGGAUAUUUUGUAGACAACUUUGUAAAGAUGCAUUAUAUUGCUUUUUAACUGGUUUUUCUGGGGUUGGUGUUUAAUUUUCUUCAGUUUUCAAUUGUUGUAAUUUUUCCAGGUGGUAUGCUUUUGGAUAAAAUCACGUUGAAUGCUUUCUUUAGUAUGCAAAUGGAAGUAUUGUGCUUCUUGUUUACUAUUCGAACUGUG